rnacentral:rRNA from 1 species
AUUGAACGCUGGCGGCAGGCCUAACACAUGCAAGUCGAACGGUAACAGGAAGCAGCUUGCUGCUUCGCUGACGAGUGGCGGACGGGUGAGUAAUGUCUGGGAAACUGCCUGAUGGAGGGGGAUAACUACUGGAAACGGUAGCUAAUACCGCAUAACGUCGCAAGACCAAAGAGGGGGACCUUAGGGCCUCUUGCCAUCGGAUGUGCCCAGAUGGGAUUAGCUAGUCGGUGGGGUAACGGCUCACCUAGGCGACGAUCCCUAGCUGGUCUGAGAGGGUGACCAGCCACACUGGAACUGAGACACAGUACAGACUCCUACGGGAAGCAACAGUGGGGAAUAUUGCACGAUGGGCGCGAGCCUGAUGCAGCCAUGCCGCGUGUAUGAAGAAGGCCUUCGGGUUGUAGAGUACUGUCGGCGGGAGGGAUGGGAGUAAAGUUAAUACCGUUGCUCAUUGACGUUACCCGCAGAAGAAGCACCGGCUAACUCCGUG